AUACUUACCUGGCAGGGGAGAUACCAUGAUCACUAAGGUGGUUCUCCCAGGGCGAGGCUCAUCCAUUGCACUCCGGGUGUGCUGACCCCUGCUUAGAUUACUUUAAUGCAUCUGAUUGUAAUUAAC
rnacentral:snRNA from 1 species